GUGCUUGCUUCAGCAGCACAUCUACCAAAAUUAGAAGGGUACAGAGAAGAUUACCAUGGCCCCUGCACCAGGGUGACAGGCAAAGUCGUGAAGCCUCCACUUUUAA
ensembl:snRNA U6 U6 spliceosomal RNA